GAUGAACGCUGGCGGCGUGCCUAAUACAUGCAAGUCGAGCGAACGGACGAGAAGCUUGCUUCUCUGAUGUUAGCGGCGGACGGGUGAGUAACACGUGGAUAACCUACCUAUAAGACUGGGAUAACUUCGGGAAACCGGAGCUAAUACCGGAUAAUAUUUUGAACCGCAUGGUUCAAAAGUGAAAGACGGUCUUGCUGUCACUUAUAGAUGGAUCCGCGCUGCAUUUGCUAGUUGGUAAGGUAACGGCUUACCAAGGCAACGAUGCAUAGCCGACCUGAGGGGGUGAUCGGCCACACUGGAACUGAGACACGGUCCAGACUCCUACGGGAGGCAGCAGUAGGGAAUCUUCCGCAAUGGGCGAAAGCCUGACGGAGCAACGCCGCGUGAGUGAUGAAGGUCUUCGGAUCGUAAAACUCUGUUAUUAGGGAAGAACAUAUGUGUAAGUAACUGUGCACAUCUUGACGGUACCUAAUCAGAAAGCCACGGCUAACUACGUG
rnacentral:rRNA from 1 species